rnacentral:rRNA from 1 species
UACGAAGGGUGCAAGCGUUACUCGGAAUUACUGGGCGUAAAGCGUGCGUAGGUGGUGGUUUAAGUCUGCUGUGAAAGCCCUGGGCUCAACCUGGGAAUUGCAGUGGAUACUGGAUCACUAGAGUGUGGUAGAGGGAUGCGGAAUUGACGGUGUAGCGGUGAAAUGCAUAGAUAUCGUCAGGAACACCGAUAGCGAAGGCAGCUUACUAAGCUGUAACUGACGCUGAGGCACGAAAGUGUGGGGAUCAAACAGG